rnacentral:rRNA from 1 species
GACGAACGCUGGCGGCGUGCCUAACACAUGCAAGUCGAGCGGGGGACUUCGGUCCCUAGCGGCGGACGGGUGAGUAACACGUGAGCAACCUGCCUCAUAGAGGGGGAUAGCCUCCCGAAAGGGAGAUUAAUACCGCAUAUACUCUUGGUAUCACAUGAUACUUAGAGGAAAGGAGAAAUCCGCUAUGAGAUGGGCUCGCGGCGCAUUAGCUAGUUGGUGAGGUAACGGCUCACCAAGGCCACGAUGCGUAGCCGACCUGAGAGGGUGAUCGGCCACAUUGGAACUGAGACACGGUCCAGACUCCUACGGGAGGCAGCAGUGGGGAAUAUUGCACAAUGGGCGAAAGCCUGAUGCAGCAACGCCGCGUGAGUGAAGAAGGCCUUCGGGUUGUAAAGCUCUGUCUUUUGGGACGAUAAUGACGGUACCAAAGGAGGAAGCCACGGCUAACUACGUGCCAGCAGCCGCGGUAAUACGUAGGUGGCAAGCGUUGUCCGGAUUUACUGGGCGUAAAGGAUGCGUAGGUGGAUAUUUAAGUGGGAUGUGAAAUACCCGGGCUUAACCUGGGUGCUGCAUUCCAAACUGGAUGUCUUGAGUGCAGGAGAGGUAAGUGGAAUUCCUAGUGUAGCGGUGAAAUGCGUAGAGAUUAGGAAGAACACCAGUGGCGAAGGCGACUUACUGGACUGUAACUGACACUGAGGCAUGAAAGCGUGGGGAGCAAACAGGAUUAGAUACCCUGGUAGUCCACGCCGUAAACGAUGGGUACUAGGUGUGGGGGUUGUCAUGACUUCCGUGCCGCCGUUAACACAAUAAGUACCCCGCCUGGGGAGUACGGUCGCAAGAUUAA